rnacentral:pre_miRNA from 1 species
AAACUACUCCCUCCGUCCGGAAAUACUUGUCAUCAAAAUGGAUAAAAGGGGAUGUAUCUAGACGUAUUUUAGUUCUAGAUACAUCUCUUUUUAUCCAUUUUGAUGACAAGUAUUUUCGGACGGAGGGAGUACAAA